AGGAGGAACAACCGCAGUGGCGGGGCCAGCUCUGGAGCCCUGGAGUCAGCUCCCGCAGUAAUCACAGAGCUCUCCGUCUGCAGGGCCUGGAGGCUCCGGGCGGAG
rfam:Canis lupus familiaris chromosome 23, whole genome shotgun sequence.